GUCUUGGAUUAAAGAAUCCUGUCAGAUACCCAUUAUCCAUGAACACCAUGACUGAGCUGGCCACCAGAGUAGAGCUCUCCAGUACGAGGUCUACACCUUUGCAGAAAAAUGUGUGUCAUUCAGAUUUUUUGCCUGAGUUGGGCAGUCACCAAAGAGAAUUACAAAGAGCUGGACCCACCCUGCACUUGGCUUUAGCGCUGUUUACAACACAACGAGAAGUGAAGCGUUGAGAGACAAUUUUCUGAAUAAUUCAAGAGUUGCGCGUUGGCAUACAUUUUGCCUGGGAAUUCUAGAAGGGAUUUAAAAAAAAAAAGAAAUUAAAGGGUAAGAAAGCAUACCUUUUGAUCCUGAAACUGCAAGCUACAAUUUC